UAAUUAGCAUGCACAUUCCAGUUUGAGAAAAGCGGCACUAAAAAGCUUUGUCAAAUAGGCAGUGUGCUCCCAUUUCUCGGUAUUGUGCCUGUGACAGGCAUCAAUAAUCAACCAGAGAAUCACUUCCUUCUGAGAGCAGAAUAUUCUCAAGUCAUGGUUUCAGGUCGCAGUGACCAAUCAAUGGGAGUUGGAUCAAAAUUAAACCUAUCUUCCAUACUGGUGUCAACACUUGAAGAAAGCUCUUUUAUUUCCACCCAUAUACACAUCAUACAUGCCUGAUAAAUGUUUGUGGAAUGAAUGUGUUUUCCCCUAGCCUUGUUUCCUGUGAUAUUCACACUAUUCCAGUCCAUACCCACAGAAAAUCAGAACUUCACUGGGCAUCUGGGAAGUUCAGCAGCUGUUCUAGGUGUUGGAUUUUGCUAUUGGCCAUGACCCAUUAGAAGGUUGAGGUGAGGUUGGAAAGAUGUUAGGGAUGGAAUGAAGACACUUGGGAACCCAUCUCGCUGUGGCACAUGGACCUCAAACCAUGCAAGUUUUCUUUUUUCUUUCUUUCUUUUUUUCUUUUUCUUGAGAUGGAGUCUUGCUCUGUCUCCCAGGCUGGAGUGCAAGGGCGCGAUCUCGGCUUACUGCACCCUCUGCCUCCCAGGUUCAAGCUACUCUCCUGCCUCAGCCUCCUGAGUAGCUGGGAUUACAGGGGCAUGCCACCAUGCCCAGCUAACUUUUGUAUUUUUAGUAGAGACGGGGUCUCACCAUGUCAGCCAGGCUUGUCUCAAACUCCUGACCUCAGGUGAUCCGCCCACCUCUGCCUCCCAAAGUACUGGGAUUACAGGCGUGAGUCACCAUGCUUGGCCGCAAGUUUUCUUCAGGACAUGGCCCCAUGUAGUCCAGCUCUACAAGGUGGCUGCUGUGUGAACUAGGCUACAUGCCGAAACGGGACUGUCGGGGGAAUCAGCAGGGGGGGCAGACCAACAGCCCUGUAAGACAUAGCAAUAAUGAUUAUAAAUAGCAUCCUUCUGACCGCCUUUUGAUGUACUGUCCAAGGCCAGGUGGAAAAUCUUUCCUCCCCUGCCUUUCCCCACUAAUCACCUUCCCCUCAUUUUUCAAUAAAGAUUCUGAGCCCA
ensembl:lncRNA novel transcript